rnacentral:rRNA from 1 species
UGGGGAAUCUUGGACAAUGGGCGCAAGCCUGAUCCAGCCAUGCCGCGUGAGUGAAGAAGGCCCUAGGGUUGUAAAGCUCUUUCGGCGGGGACGAUAAUGACGGUACCCGCAGAAGAAGCCCCGGCUAACUCCGUGCCAGCAGCCGCGGUAGUACGGAGGGGGCUAGCGUUGUUCGGAAUUACUGGGCGUAAAGCGCACGUAGGCGGGUCGUUAAGUCGGGGGUGAAAUCCUGGGGCUCAACCUCAGAACUGCCUUCGAUACUGGCGACCUUGAGUACGGGAGAGGUGAGUGGAAUUCCCAGUGUAGAGGUGAAAUUCGUAGAUAUUGGGAAGAACACCAGUGGCGAAGGCGGCUCACUGGCCCGUAACUGACGCUGAGGUGCGAAAGCGUGGGGAGCAAACA